UCUCCUGUAGCUCAGCGGUAGAGCGUCCGAUCGGUAUGCGAAAAGUCAUAGGUUCGACUCCUGUUGGAAGAA